rnacentral:rRNA from 1 species
CUUCGGCCCGAGUUGUAAUUUGUAGAGGAUGUUUAUGGUGCGGUACCUUCCGAGUUCCCUGGAACGGGACGCCACAGAGGGUGAGAGCCCCGUCUGGUUGGAUACCAAACCUGUGUUAAACUCCUUCAACGAGUCGAGUAGUUUGGGAAUGCUGCUCUAAAUGGGAGGUAAAUCUCUUCUAAAGCUAAAUACCGGCCAGAGACCGAUAGCGCACAAGUAGAGUGAUCGAAAGAUGAAAAGCACCUUGAAAAGGGGGUUAAACAGUACGUGAAAUUGUUGAAAGGGAAGCGUUUAUGACCAGACUUGUGCCGUGUGGCUCAUCCGAGGUUCUCCCCGGUGCACUCCACACGGUUCAGGCCAACAUCGGUUUUCGCUGGGGGAUAAGAACAGUAGGAACGUAGCUCCCCUCGGGGAGUGUUAUAGCCUAUUGUACGAUACCCUGGCGGGGACCGAGGACCGCGCUUCGGCUAGGAUGUUGGCGUAAUGGUCAUUAGCGACCCGUCUUGAAACACGGACCAAGGAGUCGUCCAUUAGAGCGAGCGUUUGGGUGUAAAACCCGCACGCGUAAUGAAAGUGAAAUUAGGUGAGAGCUUCGGCGCAUCAUCGACCGAUCCUGAAGUUUACGGAUGGAUUUGAGUAAGAGUUUUAACGGACGGACCCGAAAGACAGUGAACUAUGCUUGAAUAGGGUGAAGCCAGAGGAAACUCUGGUGGAGGCUCGCAGCGGUUCUGACGUGCAAAUCGAUCGUCAAAUUUGAGCAUGGGGGCGAAAGACUAAUCGAACUGUCUAGUAGCUGGUUACCGCCGAAGUUCCCCUCAGGAUAGCAGUGUUGACCUUCAGUUUUAUGAGGUAAAGCGAAUGAUUAGGGACUCGGGGGCGCUUAUUAGCCUUCAUCCAUUCUCAAACUUUAAAUAUGUAAGAAGCCCUUGUUACUUAAUUGAACGUGGGCAUUCGAAUGUACCAACACUAGUGGGCCAUUUUUGGUAAGCAGAACUGGCGAUGCGGGAUGAACCGAACGGGGGGUUAAGGCGCCAGAAUGUACGCUCAUCAGACACCACAAAAGGCGUUAGUACAUCUUGACAGCAGGACGGUGGCCAUGGAAGUCGGAAUCCGCUAAGGACUGUGUAACAACUCACCUGCCGAAUGUACUAGCCCUGAAAAUGGAUGGCGCUCAAGCGUACUGCCCAUACCCCCCCUUCAGGGUAGAAACGAUGCC